ACGGAAGAAAGAAAAGAUAUGAAAGAUGUUGUGGUUGAGCUGAAGAAAAUCAAACAAAGGUUGCUAAACAACAUCCAACAUUUUUAACAGAGAUGUGGUUGUUGAUCAAGGAACACUAAAGGAGGCCAAUAAGAAGAACGAAACUCCACAUCUUUACUAUCAUGUUCUACAAAACAAAGAGACUUUUUUCUCGAUGAAAUUUGUAUUGGGCUAUCAAUGUUUCAUGGAUUAUGUUGUUUUUCUAAUGUAAGAGGGGGUUUUGCCAAUAUUGCAUGCAAAAUCAAAGUAAUAUUUGUCAAUGCUUAGCUUAAUCAACUCUAAUGUUACUGUGGAUUUGAUUUGUCUUUACAGUAUUUACAGAUUAUUUUGUGAAUGUCAAAUUGCCUUUGGGCCUUUCAAAGAAA